rnacentral:lncRNA from 1 species
GCCCGUUUCUUUUAUAUAAACUGUGAAAAUUCUAAAAAAAUGAAGCUGUAGAGCGUCGAACCCAGGUAUGUAUACACCCAAGCCAAUAACAAAACCGGUUAAGUUACAUAAGAUUUAUGGAAAUAUUGGCCCUUUAAAAUACAUAUCUUCACCGGCCCUCAAGCAUAUGCUUUAUCAGCUUUUAUUCAGGCACGACCCUGUCUAAAAGGCAAAGAAAGAAGAAAAAGCAUAGAGCAGAAGGGGUCGAAUUGUUUUGGGUGUCUGAUAAGUGGCCUUUUGUAUCUAGCAGCAGCGCUUGAGAUUGAAAGUUAAAUACUUAGAUAUCUUUUUAGGAUCAGGAAUUCAUUCUAAAGACCCACCAAAUUAUUUAUUUAGUAACUGAGAAAGGCCAAUUCUAUUUGCCUUGACAUUGUGAAAUUCCCCUUGGUACUCUGUUUCAUGUCUUCGAAACUUUGGGUUUUAGUAUAUAAUCUUUCCAAACCCUAAAUUCAUUCGUUAAUAAUAACUAGGGGCAUUGCCCCCGCGCAAACGCGGAGUUGUGGAUAGAGUUCUUGUUUCAUCUCAAUAUUUGCUAGGAUUAUUGUGGUUGUGCAUUUUGCAUUUUGAAUUGUUUUUCAAGUUUUUUUUAUUGUUAUAGGGUUAGAGUUGUGAUGAUGAACUGUGUAUGCAUUGUUCUCUACUUAUGAAUGACUAAAUUGUGUUAAUAAUGUGAUUGAUAUAGUUCGUUGUGUUGUUUGCUGUGUUACUGAGACUUAUUGUUUGUUUGUCUUUUUAAUUUAUUUCUUAUACUGUUGAGAAUAAAUAAAUUAUAUUAAAGUUGUUGAGAGUACCUUUUGUUUCUAGAUAUUUUUUCUCCAGUUUAGUUGUGUGUAUUAAGUAAUAAUUUUUAUUAUCCUUAUUAUGUUUGUUAUAUGUUUUUAUUUUAUUUUUAAACUUGUUGCUCUUACCGAACCUUUAAAACAAAUACACGAAGACUUGUAGAAAUAACUAUAAAAUGAGUGACAGUUCUGAGUAUUUGGGCUUUAACGGGUUUUAAACGAAUUUAUGCAUUUCUCAAAAGAAGACAAUAGCAUUGGCAUGUUAACAUUGGGCAUGUAAGCUAUUUUUAUAAGACAGGAGUAGUGAGCAGGUGGAGAUGUUGUUGCUGCCUUUGUGUAUAUCGGGAUUGUCUCUUGUAUCUCUUGGUGUAGUUGUGUUUGUUUAUCUUUUAUUUGAUGGGUAAUAUGCAAACAAAAAUCAUUGUUAGUAGUAUUUAUCAGAGUUCGCAAUGUACUCUGCUUUUUUGUUUAGGUAAGUUCACUGAUUUUGGUUGUCGUCUUCGUCUUCUUCGUUGCGAAAGUAAGUUUGUAAAUUGUUAAAUAGCUGGCCGUGUAAUUUGUAUUUUUUUAGCUGGUUUGAUGUAUGUGUCGUUGAAUUUUAGUUGAGGUGGUUGGUUUGGUAUAUUUGUUUUGAAGUUUAUUUCUAAGAUUAGACAAAAAAGAGAGGUAAUCAUUAAUGAUUCGUCUUUUUUGGAAUUCUAGUUUUUGGUGUUUUGAUUGUUUGGGUUGUUGUGGUUUCUUUUAAGCUGUAAAAUAAAAGUUUGUGUAAAAUUAGUUUGAUAAGUAAGGGAGAUAAAUAGACGAUCACAAAAUAUGAAAUAUUUUUGAUUAUUAAUGUUAACACAAUAUAUAUAAUAAUAUAAAGGGAAUUGUUUGUUGACUGUUUCUUACGGAUCAAUGAGGAGACGAAUAAGGACUCGAGUUGUUUCUUUGGUAAAGUUAGAGCCCUGGACAGAACGGAUUUGCCCAACCACAUCUGCAAGUUUAAAUAUCAGUUAUGAUAUCGAAACAUAAUAUAAACUCAGAUGCAGUAUGAUAAUAUACCUGAGAGUUAUAGGUUUGUGUUCGUAAUCACUUGGAAUUGUCGAACAGUCUAGUUAUGACUGGAGAUUAGUCUCAGGAGCACCCGUGAUGACUUCAUCAUUAAUAGUUGGUGAGAUGAAACGAAUGAGGAAUUGAUUAUCAGUUAUCUUGUACAUGCUUGAGCACAUAGCAACCUCAAAACGAUCAACUUUCACAAUGAACCGGCUUUCAAAGAUGACAUGUAAUGAUUAGCACGUCCGGCGGGAAUAAACCCAUGAAUCACGAAAUCUGCAAAUAAUAUUAUUCAACAAAGAAUCAGUCAUAGAGUAGUUUCCAUCAUCACAUUCUUGAUUCAUUUUCCCAUUGGAUCCUCCAGUGUCUUGGGUCAUAGAGGAUGAGCAGCAGUUUGAAGAUGAGGAAGUUGGCGACAUAGGUCGCUUCUUCUCUUGUGCCUGCUUCCUCAUAUGAGUCCUCCAGUAAUUCUUUAUCUCAUUAUCUGUUCGACCCGGCAAUUUCUUUGCGAUUUUUGACCACCUGCAUAAGAAUAUUUCCAAAGUUCAUACAACAACAAAAAAAAAAUAAAAAAAGGAAAAAAAAAAGAGAGGAAAGUUUUGAGGUUUCUCAGUUUCUUGCAGAUAUCUUCUGACCUGUUUCCCCAUGUGGCAUGCAGCUCAAGGACAAGACGCUCUUCUUGAUGAGUCAUCUUUCCACGUUUGAGGCCAGGAUGCAGGUAAUUAACCCACCUUAGCCUGCAACUCUUUCCUGUUCUGUUUAAACCUACAACCAAAACUAGGUCAGACUUUUAAAAUGGAAGGUCCUUUCCAGAGACCGCCCAUUUUUCCAAACACAAACCCUAUACCUAUUCUUAUCAUGUUUCUCCCUCCACCUUCAAACCUGAAACUUUGGCUACAAAAUCCCAUCUUCGAUCUCCGAAAGCGUGGACAAAGUUGACCAAGAGGAUGUCCUCCUGUUCUGUCCACGGUCCUUUACGGUAUUCCUCUUGCACAUUUUUCAUCUCUCUCUUCCUUUUUUAAUUUUCUCUCUGAAUAGAAGGAAAGUUACUUCUCAGUUUUGUUUUGUGGGAACUUAUGGCAUACUCUAGACCAAUAUUUAUAUGUGAGCCAACUUGAACAAUGUGUUGUUGUGUCUACGCGAUAUAGCACUCACAUUAUUAAAAUUCUCAAAUGAUUUGUCUUUCUUAUCUUUACCGUCCAUAUAUGGUGAGAGAUUAUGCUGAUGAUAAUGUGGGGGCCUGUGUCAAUUUUUUUUUUUUUUUUAACGAAAAAUGAAAAAAAAUAAUAAUAAAAAAUUCACAUGAUGAACCCCAACAGGAGGUUCAUUAAUGCGGCUGCCCUCAUCAUUCCAAGGUUUGGAGCUCCUAUCUAUGCAAUUUAAACAAUGUAAUGCCCUUGCAUCUCUUUUUUUUUUAACUGACUAAGAGGUUAUUUUUCCCGGAGAGUAAUUUAUGCAAUUUAUGCAAUUGAAACUCAAACCAUGUAAUUUAUUUUUUCCGGAGAGUGAAAAGUUUUCAAUGUAAAUCAAAUUAAUGAAGUGCAAAAUUCCUACGUGAAUCGGUAAUCAAGUGGCUUAACCACUAAGCCAACUCAUCUUUGGUCCCCUGCUUCUCUUUGCUUGAUAAAAUUUUAAUCGAAGGGAAACAUCAAUUAGUUUUGUUAAUUUAAUUAUAUGAAAAGGCUAACUGUGCAUGGUUUUAUGUAUACAGUAGGUGAAAAUCCACAAUAUGCGAUCGACAAGAAGAUUGUUGAAACGAUGACUGAAACGUUUACUCUUAUUCCAACAUGUAAAACAUUAUAAGAUAAAACUGUAAAAACGUCAGAAUAACGAAGUUUAUGAUGUUUUUAUGCGGGUAAUAUAGUAUUACAGUAAAUCUUAAUUAAGGGUAAAGACGAAUCCUAUGAACUUUGUUUCUUCGAAACUCUGGCAGCUAUCGGCUUAGGUUUGUUUUGUUUUAGAAUUUUAAAUUCAAAGAAAACAUUCAAUGAACACUUAAUAUUAUCCAAAUUGUAAUUCUUCUUCAACAAGUAUAAGUCACUACAAUGAAAUAGAACCUAAUACAUUAAAAUUCGAAGAAUUUGAUUUGAGCUAGGUAACUUAAAUAGUAGACUCCAACAUGUUUGCAAUGUUGCUUCCGUGAGACCUAAGCAAAAGUUGGCGAAAAGGCACCAGCUUCUGCACCAAACCCCUAAACAGAUCGACCGUAUUAAUCUCACGCGUGACUCUAAGUGCCUUCACCACCACGAAACUCCCAAACUCAUUCCUCGCCAGCCUCAUCAACCUGCCUCCUUCGCACUCCAAAAGCUCCGUUACCACCACAGCCAUCGACUCCUCAGUAUCUAGAAGCUUCUCUACGAUGUAGCUUCCAUACUUUUUAAACGACAGAUCAAUGCAAUGGCCACGAAGACUAACCGCUACGUUGUGCGUGCAACGCAAGUCGUAGAGUGUAAGCACGUGUUGGACAACGAAGUUCCCUGAAGGCUCGUUGCUUAGGCAGCGAGCGUUGCGCGCGACCAAGUCUAGUAGAAGAUUUCUGUAGAAAGGAUCAUCCGCGUCGGUUAUGACCUCGUUAAGCGCGAUGCAACCGUACUGAUUACGCGCGAUGUCGAGCGCGUGGUGGAGAAGGUGCUCGUACAUUACAUACUUCUUCUUCUUGUCGAAAACGAGCAUAGCUCGAAUGACCACGUAGGAUGCGUACUUAUCGGUUAUGAUAUGGAAGAACCGGCGCAAGAUAUCGGCGCAGAAGAAGGCGUCCAUGUCGUCUGAUAUUCCGAGGAGCUUCUGGACGCGUCUCGACCCGUAAAUGUUUCGGACAACCUCCGUGAAGUAAUCGGAGUCUGACGUCAGUAACAGCACCAUCAGCUGAAGCUCUUUUCGGUCAGACUUUGAGAUAAUGUCUUUAAACUGGGACACGCCUUCGCAACUAGUCAUUACGUUGAAUAGCUCGUUUAAGCGGGCGUUAGCUACGGUGGCGCGUGGGGCGAAUCCCGGAGGAGGAAUGUAACCGGAGAUUCCUUUAGGGAAACGAAUACGUUGUAAGCCAUCGGACAUGGUCAUUGCCAUUUUACAAGAAUUAAUUUUUAACUAGAGAAGGAUUAAAAGUUUGUAUGAUUUAAGUUUGGAGAAGUUACGUUGGAAAGAUUUUAGAGUUGUUGUUGGAUUAGGAUCUGUGUGGGGGUAAUGAUAUAUUUAUACAUGUUCUUUUCUCGGUGACAAUAGUAUUUUCCUUUUAAGAAAAAGGAAAGUUAUCACGAGUUUCCUUUUUUUUUUUUUUUAUACAACUAUCACGAGUUUUCUUUCCUUCUCUUUUCGUAACUAAUAUUUCUACCGUUAAUGAAAAAAGGAAAAAGGUUGUGAAGUAGGUCAAUUAAAUAAAUUAUUAAGCUUAUCAAAAGAAAGGGUGAAGGAAAACUGGAAAACUUUCAAUUGGGCUAUAAAUUGAAGCCUAAAAGACUUUCUCAAAUUAACUAUCUAAUUAUCAUGGCCAGAUAUCACCUUUCUCAAACUUACAAUUGUGCUCCAAAUAGAAGGCCCAAGGGAUAUAUAGCGAGGCAAGUUGAAGCAUAGUGAGAAUAUCUGAUCAUCUGCAUUCAAAUCCAUAGCUCAGUUAACACACUGAGAGAUUGGCAGUGUGAUUGUUGCUAUUAAAAAAGGUUAUACAACUAGUUUUAUUUAACAUCAUUGUUCCACCUAGCUAGACAGUGUUCCAUUCUGUUAAAGAACUUUCUCUCAAUCAACUCUAAUCAUUGCUACUAUACGUUCAAAGGUCUCGCUGACAUUCUCUCAGCAUGUUUCUUUUAAACUAUCACAGUUGGGAUUAGGAAUGUUUCACAAACUUAUCACUGCCUUAUUGUAGUAAAAGAUUUAUAGAGAUGUGAAAGAUCAUUCAAACUCACUCUAGCCGAGACACCAAGCUACAAGUGUGUUAUCGAUAGCCAUGGAGAAUCCUGGACCUGAAAAGAGGAAUGUGAAAACAGAUAAAACCAAGAUAACAUCCUUCUUAUAAGACAUACGCAAAGCGGAAUCCCAGUGGAAAUUAAUUAUAUAAUUUGAAACGACUUAGGCCUUGUUUUAUUAAUCUCAAACUUGGAGUGAUUCUACUGUUAUGUUUUUGUUGCUAGUGGUUUGGCUCUUUCCGUUUUCUUGUAAGUGGAAUCAAUUCCAAGGUAAUGAAUACUUUGAUUAUAAUCUAUUGCUGAUUUUAAGAUAUGCAUGAAUUCAUAUCCACUCCACUUUUGGUACAAACUCUUCCAAUAACUUUGGGUGGAAAGGGGAUAAUCUUAUUGGGUGUUUACUUAUGAUAUUUAUUGAUGGAUUUGUCAUUUGUGGUAUGAUUAGGACUUUAAGAUAGUUGAGAUUAUCACUCUGCAUGUAGAUCUUAUUUUAUCCCCAUCCCUUUGUUCUUUGUUUUUGUUCUUAUUGGGCGCAAGGUAGGCAGGUAAAAUCAUAUGAAGAAGAUAUAUACUUAAUUGUUUUCUCCGAGCUUUUUUUCCAAGCUUCCCUAGUGGUUGGUUUGGUAUAUUUGUUUUGAAGUUUAUUUCUAAGAUUAGACAAAAAAGAGAGGUAAUCAUUAAUGAUUCGUCUUUUUUGGAAUUCUAGUUUUUGGUGUUUUGAUUGUUUGGGUUGUUGUGGUUUCUUUUAAGCUGUAAAAUAAAAGUUUGUGUAAAAUUAGUUUGAUAAGUAAGGGAGAUAAAUAGACGAUCACAAAAUAUGAAAUAUUUUUGAUUAUUAAUGUUAACACAAUAUAUAUAAUAAUAUAAAGGGAAUU